rnacentral:rRNA from 1 species
UACGGAGGGUGCGAGCGUUGUCCGGAAUCAUUGGGCGUAAAGGGCGCGUAGGUGGCCCGGUCAGUUCGUGGUGAAAGCGCGGGGCUCAACCCUGCGUCGGCCAUGAAUACUGCCGCGGCUGGAGCACUGUAGAGGCAGGCGGAAUUCCGGGUGUAGCGGUGGAAUGCGUAGAGAUCCGGAAGAACACCGGUGGCGAAGGCGGCCUGCUGGGCGAGUGCUGACACUGAGGCGCGACAGCGUGGGGAG